rnacentral:rRNA from 1 species
CGUGUAGGCGGAGAUGCAAGUUGGGAGUGAAAUCCCCGGGGCUCAACCCCGGAACUGCUCUCAAAACUGUAUCCCUUGAGUAUCGGAGAGGCAAGCGGAAUUCCUAGUGUAGCGGUGAAAUGCGUAGAUAUUAGGAGGAACACCAGUGGCGAAGGCGGCUUGCUGGACGACAACUGACGCUGAGGCGCGAAAGCGUGGGGAGCAAACA